UCGAGAGGCUUUGGCAAUGGGGGAAACCCUGACCAAGCGACGCCGCGUGGGCGAUGAAGGCCUUCGGGUUGUAAAGCCCUGUUAUGGGGGAAGAAAAACCGUCGAGUUAACAGCUCGACGGAUUGACGGUACCCUAGGAGGAAGCUCCGGCAAACUCCGUGCCAGCAGCCGCGGUAAUACGGAGGGAGCAAGCGUUGUUCGGAUUUACUGGGCGUAAAGGGCGUGUAGGCGGUCUUGUAAGUCAGGCGUGAAAUGCUCUGGCUCAACCAGAGAGGUGCGUCUGAUACUGCGAGGCUUGAGUGCAGGAGAGGAGAGCAGAAUUCCUGGUGUAGCGGUGAAAUGCGUAGAUAUCAGGAAGAAUACCAGUGGCGAAGGCGGCUCUCUGGUCUGUCACUGACGCUAAGGCGCGAAAGCCAGGGGAGCGAACGGGAUUAGAUACCCCGGUAGUCCUGGCCGUAAACGUUGGGCACUAGGUGUAGGAGGUAUCGACCCCUUCUGUGCCUAAGCUAACGCAUUAAGUGCCCCGCCUGGGGAGUACGACCGCAAGGUUG
rnacentral:rRNA from 1 species